UGAUUACCAGCAACCUUUUCUACAAUAUGUCCUCCUGUGAUCUGUCAUCUUCCAGUGACAGGCAUGUCAGUUUGGAGUUACAAAGGCUAUCUAACAUCCUGCCAUUUAAAUGCUGCCUAAGUCUGGGUUGUGAGGAGACACUGUCCGCAAAGUGACCCACCAGGGUGGGUUUUGUGCCAGACUGUCAUGGAUGUGGUUAUCCAGCAUGUGGUGGAGCUCAGAAGGAGGGAGAGAAGAGUAAAGACUUCUUGACUUUAGCAAAGGGAAACUCCAUCCCAGUUUGCAAAUUUGUAUCCCAAGCGGCUGCUGAUUACAGCUGUUGUAAACUUCUUACUGACUACCUGCAUGCAGCCAUGAUGACUUCUGGCAAAAGAAUGGGCCCAGUAAGCAAAUAAUGAAUUCAACUAAGCCAGAUGUGAAGUAUAUAUUGGGAGCUAACUGGUUGUUAUCAGACUGUUAUACCAUCACCUGUGUGAGUGACAGUACCCUUCCUGCACACGAAAAGAAAUCUGUAAGUAUGAAAGCAGUCGACUGGAAACCCCCGUAGGACUAGAUCUGGCUUGAACAGAAGUCGAAGAAUCCUGACCCGUUAUGUCUUAAUGCGUUUUAUUUGUGAAAUUACUAUAGUCUGCACUGUAAAACAAGGUAUGUGAGCAAGAAGUGAGCAGCAAGUUUCUCUCUGAU
rnacentral:lncRNA from 1 species